CCUACGGGGAGCAGCAGUGGGGAAUAUUGGGCAAUGGGCGCAAGCCUGACCCAGCAACGCCGCGUGAAGGAAGAAGGCUUUCGGGUUGUAAACUUCUUUUAAGAGGGAAGAGAAGAAGACGGUACCUCUUGAAUAAGCCACGGCUAACUACGUGCCAGCAGCCGCGGUAAUACGUAGGUGGCAAGCGUUGUCCGGAUUUACUGGGUGUAAAGGGCGUGCAGCCGGGCUGACAAGUCAGAUGUGAAAUCCCGCGGCUCAACCGCGGAACUGCAUUUGAAACUGUCAGUCUUGAGUACCGGAGAGGUCAUCGGAAUUCCUUGUGUAGCGGUGAAAUGCGUAGAUAUAAGGAAGAACACCAGUGGCGAAGGCGGCCUGCUGGACUGCAACUGACGUUGAGGCCCGAAAGCGUGGGGAGCAAACAGGAUUAGAUACCCCUGUAGUC
rnacentral:rRNA from 1 species